AACGAACGCUGGCGGCAUGCCUAACACAUGCAAGUCGAACGAGACCUUCGGGUCUAGUGGCGCACGGGUGCGUACCGCGUGGGAACCUGCCCUUAGGUUCGGAAUAACUCCCCGAAAGGGGUGCUAAUACCGGAUAAUGUCUCCGGACCAAAGAUUUAUCGCUUUUGGAUGGGCCCGCGUUGGAUUAGCUAGUUGGUAGGGUAAAAGCCUACCAAGGCGACGAUCCAUAGCUGGUCUGAGAGGAUGAUCAGCCACACUGGGACUGAGACACGGCCCAGACUCCUACGGGAGGCAGCAGUGGGGAAUAUUGGACAAUGGGCGAAAGCCUGAUCCAGCAAUGCCGCGUGAGUGAUGAAGGCCUUAGGGUUGUAAAGCUCUUUUACCCGGGAUGAUAAUGACAGUACCGGGAGAAUAAGCUCCGGCUAACUCCGUG
rnacentral:rRNA from 1 species